GGUGGCUUUUGAGGUGGAAAAUUCUUAGGAGGUGGUUUCUCUCCCUUACCCUUAAAUGGUGGUUUUUGGAAGUCCUCUACGCUAUCCUCACUUAAUAGGUGACCAUGUGGUGGCUUGUGUGGUGGUUUGUGCUCUGGUGGUGGCUUUUGAGGUGGAAAAUUCUUAGGAGGUGGUUUCUCUCCCUUACCCUUAAAUGGUGGUUUUUGGAAGUCCUCUACGCUAUCCUCACUUAAUAGGUGACCAUGUGGUGGCUUGUGUGGUGGUUUGUGCUCUGGUGGUGGCUUUUGAGGUGGAAAAUUCUUAGGUGGUGGUUUCUCUCCCUUACCCUUGUAAGGUGGAUCAUGGACAUCCUCUACAUUAUCCUCACUUAACAGAUGACCAUGUGGUGGCUUGUGCUGUGAGUGGUGGUGAUCA